UACGUAGGGGGCAAGCGUUGUCCGGAUUUAUUGGGCGUAAAGAGCGUGUAGGCGGCCAAACAGGUCAGCUGUGAAAACUCGAGGCUCAACCUCGAGACGUCGGUUGAAACCGUUUGGCUAGAGUCCGGAAGAGGAGAGUGGAAUUCCCGGUGUAGCGGUGAAAUGCGCAGAUAUUGGGAAGAACACCCGGUGGCGAAGGCGGCGACC
rnacentral:rRNA from 1 species